rnacentral:rRNA from 1 species
UGCAAGUCGAGCGAUGAAGCACCUUCGGGUGUGAAUUAGCGGCGAACGGGUGAGGAACACGUGAAGAAUCUGCCUUCAACUCUGGGAUAACUCCGGGAAACCGGGGCUAAUACCGGAUAUGAGCCUUGAUCGCAUGAUCGGGGCUGGAAAGUUUUUCGGUUGAAGAUGACUUCGCGGCCUAUCAGCUUGUUGGUGAGGUAAUGGCUCACCAAGGCGACGACGGGUAGCCGGCCUGAGAGGGCGACCGGCCACACUGGGACUGAGACACGGCCCAGACUCCUACGGGAGGCAGCAGUGGGGAAUAUUGGGCAAUGGAGGAAACUCUGACCCAGCGACGCCGCGUGAGGGAUGAAGGCCUUCGGGUUGUAAACCUCUUUCAGUAGGGAAGAAGCGAAAGUGACGGUACCUACAGAAGAAGCACCGGCUAACUAUGUGCCAGCAGCCGCGGUAAUACAUAGGGUGCAAGCGUUGUCCGGAAUUAUUGGGCGUAAAGAGCUCGUAGGUGGUUCGAUACGUCGGAUGUGAAAAUCAGGGGCUCAACCCCUGACCUGCAUCCGAUACGGUCGAGCUAGAGUUUGGUAGGGGAGACUGGAAUUCCUGGUGUAGCGGUGGAAUGCGCAGAUAUCAGGAGGAACACCGAUGGCGAAGGCAGGUCUCUGGGCCAAUACUGACACUGAGGAGCGAAAGCGUGGGGAGCGAACAGGAUUAGAUACCCUGGUAGUCCACGCCGUAAACGGUGGGCGCUAGUUGUGCGAACCUUCCACGGUUUGUGCGACGCAGC